rnacentral:lncRNA from 1 species
GCUGCUUCCUCUCCCCAGCCUCACCUUGCAGGAAUCCCAGUGAAUAUAUUGCCACCCUAUUUGAGCUCAGUGCCCUCAUAGUGUAAUGGCACCAGCAGAUCUGCCUGUGCAUGGACUUCCUGUACUACCCAUUCCUGACGGUGAUGCUUCUGCAGGGCCUGUGACCUGGUGCACAACUUUAGACACCAUCAUCCUGGAGCAGCACUGCACCCUCACUAGCCAGGGUGUUCAUGACUUCCUCAAGGCCAAGGCCACGUUCAAGACUUAAGACUUCAGUGAUGCACUUAUGCUGGGCAAGGAUGAAAAUGGGAAGGAGUUGUCAGAUGAGGACAUAUAAAUGGAGGCUGACAUCUUCAUGAGGAUAUGACAGCACAGCCACUGGCCUCUACUGAAUCCUAUGCAACCUCAGAAGACACCCAGGAGUGAUGCCAUCAUGUGGUGCAAGAGUUCUGAGGGACCGCAAUCCUGAAGACAUUGAAUG